rnacentral:lncRNA from 1 species
AUACAAAAUUAUCAUUUUAUUUCAGGAUAAAAUUUAUCAUGUUGGCAACAGAAUAUGUCCUGCCGACCUCCAAGUGGAUGGCAUAGUAUAUCCACCCCAUGACAGGCCCACUGGGACUGUGGUGAACAUGCCUGUACCUCAGUACAAAGUCCCCUUUCCCUGAGAAAUGUACAGAAGGAUAGAUGAAGAGCGUGUAUUCAAAAGGAAGAGGAAGAAGCUGGGUGCCCUGUGCCCCGAGCUCAGAACUUCAGGGGGAUGGCCGGCUAGUACUUGGGCUGCUUUGGGUCACAGCGCGUGUCAAAGCUCAGCUGCACCGUAGCCUCCAUGGCCUGAAUCUUGGCGGCGCUGUCUCAGUACAAACGCUUCAUCUCGGCCUGGCGCCGCUCACCAGGCCUCUCAGUUGGGGCGUCUACCGACCGGCGGGUGUUGCAGUACAGGUCGUGGUCAGCGUUCACAAACUGUCCAGGCGCUCUGCAUCCGGCUGCCGCCGCCGCCGCCGUUCUUCUCUGUGCCUCUCGGUCUCUGCAAAGUACUGGCGGAGCUCUUCGGUGAUUUCCACGUUGCUCAGGUCACAUUCUACCUCUGCAUCUGACUCGAUCGCCAUCUCUUCCUCUUUAGACAAAGCUUAGUCUUCUCUUAUGGAUGCCUGGAUCCUACUGCUGCCAUGUGGAUGCUGCCCAGACCCUCUGAAAAGUGAAGAACUGCAGGGGGAGUCCUGCUAGGCCACAUGAUGGUCAUAGAAGGACUGACGAUAUGCAGCCUGGUUAUCGUAAGAGCUUUGGGGAAGAAGUGCAGGAAGGAAGUACCAUGGAAGACUGAAACAGGAUUCCGCCGCCUUCCUGUAGGCAUUGUGGUGGCUUUGCAUCCAAGACAUUGCUUGAUGAUAAUGUUGCCAGUAUCUUGCAUAUACUGGAUGAGGAUACCAAGGCCUGGUAGCUUUUGAUGUUGUUGUCUUCACCGCUGCCAUCUCCGAUUGUUAAAGUCCAAAUGGGUGCCGAAACUUGUGGGCAUGCAGCUUGCAGAUCCUGCGUGGUGGCCAAGCAGGCCAUAUUUUAGAAAUCUUUCCAGGCGGGUCGCGUUGGCUCACGCCUGUGAUCCUAACACUUCGGGAGGCCGAGACGGGGCUGGGAGUGGGGGGAUUGCUUGAGCCCAGGAGUUGGAGACCUGCUUGGGCAACAUGGCAAAACCCCCAUCUCUAUAAAAAUAAUUUAAAAAAUUUUUAAAGAAUUAUUAUUUCCAUUUUAUUUCAAUGCUUUGUCUUUCAAGAAAAUUUAUUGACAGCGAUAAUCGGACUCCAUAUGCAAUUUUGUAUCUUGCUUUUCAAAUUUGCCACAGGCUUCUAAAAACGUCCCAGACUUCUGUGUCUCCAUGGAGGAAACUCUGCAAGUACUUACAAAUGUUAUGAUUAGUCAUCCGUAGCCAAUACAAAGCAAAAGUUAGGCUUGCAAUUUUAUUAGUUAGGGCAGGAAGAAGGCAUUCCAACCGGCUUCUUUCGCUCUUGCCAGGUUCAAACAUGGCGGGCCGCAGCCGGCCCUUCCCAUACACUCGGCUUGCUUUCCCACAACCCCUGCCAAUCUUUAGCGCUCCUUUUUUACCUUCCUUCCCCAUCAGCGGCUCCGGAGGGUCAGCACCUCCGAUCAUGACAGCGGACCUGCUUCCCGCCCCCACGCGAGGGCCC